rnacentral:lncRNA from 1 species
AGCAAUCAGCGAGACUCCGUGGGCGUAGGACCUCCGAGCCAGGUGCGGGAUGUAAUCUCGUGGUGCACCGUUUUUCUUAAGCCGGUCCGAAAAGCGCAAUAUUCGGUUGGGAGUGACCCGAUUUUCCAGAGAUGAGGUCUCACAAUAUUGCCCAGGCUGGUCUCAAGUCCCUGGACUCAAGUGACCCUCCUGCGUUGACCUCCCAAAGUGCUGUUAUUACAAGCAUGAGCCACGGUGCCCAGCCACCACCAGCCUCCUUUCACAGAGACUGAAUUUCAAUCAGCUGCUCUCAGUUGACAAUGAUAAAAUUAUCUCUAUAUGGGCAAAUGCGUGCUCUUUGUCGAAAAAGAAAGCUUCAGCUUCAUGUUCCAGGGACGGUCAAGUUGGUAUCCAUCGUGAAGCUAAAUGAAUAUCUGGACAGGAGUCAGACAAAGGGAAGGAGAAUCCAGGGGAAGAUGAAGCAGCUGCAGGCCUGUCUGCUACCCUAUAUCCGGGGAAGAGCCAGAAA